UGAGAGGCAAGAGAAUCUUUUACUCCUAUCCUACUGCAAACACAAGCUAAGAAAUGCCUAGGAGGCAUUUCUCCUCCUAGGGCCUAGGAGGAGAAAAAUUAAAGACUUACACUCUUAGAAUAUCUGCCAGGCACCCACAGGACCCUCAGGACUCAUGACAAAUUAUCUCUCCCAAAAUGUAUCCUUAUCUGGUAACAUUUAAUGAUUAUGGGAAUGAAGUUUACAGAAACCAAUUUAUCAGCAUCAGAAUUCAAGCUCUCAAAUUCUCAAACCCAUAGGUGCAGCACAGGACUCAGGGUGAUGAAAGCCCUGCCGCUGGAGUUUUAAACGUCCAUCAAGAAAAAAAAAAAGAGAAGAUGAAUAAUUAUCACACAGGGUUUAAGUAUCUGCUCCCUGGAAAUGACAUAGAUCAUUUCUAUUUAUAUAUCUGAGUUGAGGUACAUUACUUAACUGCAUUUAUCAAGAUUGGGUAAGUCCCAGUCCUACCAUACACUUGAAAGAAAACAAAGAUUAUUUAUGAAUUGAUGUAGUGUUUAUAACAGUAGUCUUUAAUGUUUGCAAUUUUAAUUUUCAUUGUACUAUUUUUAGAAUAAAGACAUAACUUGUUAGAGAUAUGCAAUUUAUUCCAUUUUGAAAAAGCUUUAUUUGAAUCCUCCUUAUAUACAAUGCACAGGAGUUAUCAAAAUGGAACCCAGAGAGUUCUCAUACAAACAGUGCUGAUAAUGAAGUGGUAAGACUAUUGUAAGUAUAUAUAAUUUUGUUUAUAUAUAUAUUCUAGAAG
rnacentral:lncRNA from 1 species